rnacentral:rRNA from 1 species
GCAGGCCUAACACAUGCAAGUCGAGCGGUAGCACAGAGAGCUUGCUCUCGGGUGACGAGCGGCGGACGGGUGAGUAAUGUCUGGGAAACUGCCUGAUGGAGGGGGAUAACUACUGGAAACGGUAGCUAAUACCGCAUAAUGUCGCAAGACCAAAGUGGGGGACCUUCGGGCCUCAUGCCAUCAGAUGUGCCCAGAUGGGAUUAGCUAGUAGGUGGGGUAAUGGCUCACCUAGGCGACGAUCCCUAGCUGGUCUGAGAGGAUGACCAGCCACACUGGAACUGAGACACGGUCCAGACUCCUACGGGAGGCAGCAGUGGGGAAUAUUGCACAAUGGGCGCAAGCCUGAUGCAGCCAUGCCGCGUGUGUGAAGAAGGCCUUCGGGUUGUAAAGCACUUUCAGCGGGGAGGAAGGCGAUAAGGUUAAUAACCUUGUCGAUUGACGUUACCCGCAGAAGAAGCACCGGCUAACUCCGUGCCAGCAGCCGCGGUAAUACGGAGGGUGCAAGCGUUAAUCGGAAUUACUGGGCGUAAAGCGCACGCAGGCGGUCUGUCAAGUCGGAUGUGAAAUCCCCGGGCUCAACCUGGGAACUGCAUUCGAAACUGGCAGGCUAGAGUCUUGUAGAGGGGGGUAGAAUUCCAGGUGUAGCGGUGAAAUGCGUAGAGAUCUGGAGGAAUACCGGUGGCGAAGGCGGCCCCCUGGACAAAGACUGACGCUCAGGUGCGAAAGCGUGGGGAGCAAACAGGAUUAGAUACCCUGGUAGUCCACGCCGUAAACGAUGUCGAUUUGGAGGUUGUGCCCUUGAGGCGUGGCUUCCGGAGCUAACGCGUUAAAUCGACCGCCUGGGGAGUACGGCCGCAAGGUUAAAACUCAAAUGAAUUGACGGGGGCCCGCACAAGCGGUGGAGCAUGUGGUUUAAUUCGAUGCAACGCGAAGAACCUUACCUGGUCUUGACAUCCACAGAACUUAGCAGAGAUGCUUUGGUGCCUUCGGGAACUGUGAGACAGGUGCUGCAUGGCUGUCGUCAGCUCGUGUUGUGAAAUGUUGGGUUAAGUCCCGCAACGAGCGCAACCCUUAUCCUUUGUUGCCAGCGGUUAGGCCGGGAACUCAAAGGAGACUGCCAGUGAUAAACUGGAGGAAGGUGGGGAUGACGUCAAGUCAUCAUGGCCCUUACGACCAGGGCUACACACGUGCUACAAUGGCAUAUACAAAGAGAAGCGACCUCGCGAGAGCAAGCGGACCUCAUAAAGUAUGUCGUAGUCCGGAUUGGAGUCUGCAACUCGACUCCAUGAAGUCGGAAUCGCUAGUAAUCGUAGAUCAGAAUGCUACGGUGAAUACGUUCCCGGGCCUUGUACAC